UUGAGUGCUCUUGCCCUUGAUGUGAAGUUCGUAGUGCCCUUCCCUGCCCCGUCAGCAGCAAAAGGCUUCACGGGAGCUCGCAGGGCGGGUGCAAUUGUCGCCAGGAGACGGACGGGUCACUCCCUGGUUUUGCUUCCAAUUGAAGCAGAGAUUAAUGCCGGUGUCACCAGCUCCUAAAACAGCUCUGGUAGAAGACUUGUUGCUGUGCCUUUGGCUGUUGUCGAAUGGGAAGAAAAAGCAGCAGAUGGAGCAAUGAGAAAGACUUCCUUGAUGGAGCUUUUGGCUUUCCUUGUAAGGGGAUCUUUAUUUUGGAACACUCCCUCCCAUAGGCUGAGAUAACAGUCCUCCGGAAGAGCUGGAAAACACACAAAAACUGCUCAAUUGGUUUCAGAAGGUGAACAUAAGUGAAAAUUUUGUGAUCAAGUGUCUACUUACAGCUUUGUUAUCAGUUUCUCACAGAUGUCACAAAAGCAGCGAGUCCUGUAUUAUGUUGCGGAGGAAGAACAGAGCCUUCAGGAUCAGUUUAUGGAGGGGGCAAAGGUUCUGUCACCCAAAAGGCCCUGUAAAUUGCUGGCCAAUUUAUGGUGCCAGGUUGUUUUUUGCUUUGGCAGAGCUUAAAGGUGAGUGGGAAUGGUGUGCAAAUCGAUCCCGAGGCAAUCAAUGACACGGCAGCUGGCCAGAGCUGAACACCGAUGCGCUGAUCGCCUCCAAAUCAAUUCACAUGCUGCUCUUGCUCAGGUUACCUGCCACUUCAGCAGGGAGGCACGGAUGGGGAACUGAGGAGAAAAUUGCACAAAAAGUAUUCUGGGACCUUUCUAAAUAGGCCACUUACUUGCAACCCUUCUUCCCUUCUAUGUACUGGAUAUAUAAAUAUACUGGAUGUAAGGAUAUGAAAAGGUCACGACGCAGUGCCUUGUUUGAAACUCAGACAUUGCUCAAAGGGAGCAGAGUGGGGCCCUGGAGAAAGCCUGGGAAAUUGUGUGGAAGAGACAGCAGUCCUGUGUCUUCUUCGCUGUUUUCUGCCUUGGUGUAAGGUAUUUAACUAGUCAAGCAUUGCUGUUCGGGUGUGCACAAGCUUAAAUAAUCCUGUGGAGUGUUGUGCCACGGGGAACUGUGGUUCCUAAUUUCUAAAACUCCUCAAGGUGAGCGGCUUUUGUUUUGUUUUAAUAAGCCAGAGUUGUGCAUGUUGAAAGUGCCUAUUGUACAAAGAUCUCAAUUUACUUGGCAAACUUCCAUGCAUUAAGUCUCCCUGCUUUGCUGUCAAGGAGUGAGGUAUUGUUAUCUCCAUUAAG